rnacentral:rRNA from 1 species
GACGAACGCUGGCGGCGUGCUUAACACAUGCAAGUCGAACGAAGUGGCGAACGGGUGAGUAACGCGUAAUCAACCUGCCCUUCAGAGGGGGACAACAGUUGGAAACGACUGCUCAUACCGCAUACUGAAGGAGGGGAUUGCGUCUGUUUAGCUAGUUGGAGGGGUAACGGCCGACCAAGGCGAUGAUCAGUAGGCGGUCUGAGGGGAUGGACGGCCACAUUGGGACCUGUAAACGGCCCAGACUCCUACGGUAGGCAGCAGUGGGGGAUCUUCCGCAAUGGACGGAAGUCUGACGGAGCAACGCCGGGUGAGGGAAGGCAGCCUUCGGGUUGUAAAGCUCUGUUAAUCGGGGCGCGGUACCGGAAUAGAAAGCCACGGCUAACUACGUGCCAGCAGCCGCGGUAAUUC